AAAGCAUUCAGAUGUUAUUGAAAUUAGUGUCAUAUGCAGAGCAUAAGACCCCAUUGUAAACAACUUUGCACACAAGAUAUGUAAGGUAAGCUAUGAUGCGAUAAUAUCAACAUGCAACUUAUGCAAUUUGAAUACUAUAUAUAUCCCUUAUUAGAGGGAGCAACUAUAAAAUUGUCAAACAUUCCAACUCUCUUGAGCUACAAAUUAUGCAGUCCGAACCUGGGAUUGACCCAAAAUAAAACUAAUAACAUUCUCCUGAGGGCUAG
rnacentral:misc_RNA from 1 species